UACUUUCGUUGUCUGUGUGGGCUCAGCUUUAUUGUUUGGUGAUAUUGUAUGAGCCUCUUUGAGAACGCGUUAAUGUCAGACUUGACCUGUGAUAGUUUUGAUCUUUGAUAGAAUUGAAUGUAUUCAGCGAUCUGUGUAGUGUAAUUUGUUAGUAAGUGAACAUUUGUGUGGAGUGAUUUGCAGAUAAAAUAAAAAAUGGCUGUGUUAGCAGCGGCAGCUCUUCUAGAUGAACUUAUGGGGAGAAAUAGAAAUAUGGCACCAAAUGACAAAACGAAGGAACUCAAUUGGGAAGAUCCAGAGUACUGCAAGCUGUAUAUGGUGAAAUUUUGUCCUCAUGACUUGUUUGUAAAUACGCGAGCUGACUUGGGGCAGUGUCCAAAGGUCCAUGAUGAUGAAGUCAAAGCACUGUAUGAAAAAUCAAACAGCUAUAAAAAACAGCAGUAUGAAGAUGAAUUCAUAAGGUUCUGCCAGAGUAUGCUUAAUGAAGUGGAGAGGAAGAUAAUCAAAGGAAAACAAAGACUUGCCUUAAUGGGUAAAACUGAUAUGGUGUCCUUGUCACCGGCUCAAACUCAACGCAAUGAAGAGCAGAUUGCAUUCCUCACUGAAAAAAUCAAUGGUCUUGUAAGUGAAGCAGAACAAAUGGGUAUUCAGGGAAAUGUUGAACAAGCACAAGGACUUAUGAAGCUAUGUGAUCAGCUAAAAGAAGAACGUGAGCAGUUAAGAGGAACCAAUGAAAAUAGUCAUUGGCAGCAAACAGCUGAACUGGCAGCUUCACAAGAGAAACAGAUGGAAGUCUGUGAUGUCUGUGGUGCAUUUUUAAUUGUUGGAGAUGCACAACAACGAAUUGAUGAUCAUCUGAUGGGGAAGCAACAUGUUGGUUACGCAAAGCUUAAAUCUGCAUUGGAUGAACUUAUGACAGCACGUCAGAAAGCUCGUGAGGAAAAAGAAAAGAAACGUGAAGAGGAAAGAAGAGAACGGAAUCGAUUGAGGGAAGAAGAAGAACGGAAAAGGAAUCGUGAAAGAGGCAGAGAAAGGGAUGAACACCGUAGAAUGAGGGAAGAGGAAGAGAGACGAUCACGUUCUCGAAGAUCCAGAAGCCCACACCAUUCCUCUCACAGAAGUAGGAGUCAUCCCAGAAAAGGAAAUGAAAAAGAGCACCACCACAAAAGCAGAGGGAAAAGCACAGAAGACAGGAGCCAUCACUCCUCUCAUCAUAGUCACUCCAUUGAUGGAUCUAACCGUGACCAUGGGAGAAGCGCAAGCAGACAUUCAGAUCAUAGAAGGGAAAAAGACAGAGGAGUAAAUGGAGAUUCAAGUAGACGUGGAUCAUCACCUCAUCGUAGCUCCAGUCAUUACAGGCACAGUUCACGGAGUGCAGGAGGAAGCGGAUCGCAUGGGAAUGUUUAGCAAGUGCCCAACAUUUGAAUCAGUGAGUGAGAUUCUCCAAACAGCAAUGCUGUCCGCUCAGCCUGCUUGUGAUUCGUUGGUUGGCUUAGAGCCUGCUGGUGUAAACAUCUUCAGGAUUUUACUCAUUUCCAGUCACAUAAAAAGGGUAUGCUGUCUACAGUGUACUCAAGAAGCAGUGUCAAUAUCCUUGCAAGCAGGAGUACAGAGCUAUAUUUGAUUGAAGAUCUUGGUCUCUCACUGUGUCGGCACAACCUGGCGAUGUUCUGUUUGGAAAUGUUUCUCUUGGAAUCUUCAAGAUGUCAUCCCAAAUGCAAGGUGAUCUUUAUUUAUAAGCAUCCUUCUUUUGUUAUUGCUACUGGCUCUGAAAAUUAAAAAUCACAUUCCCCUAGUGUCCAGUCAUUUACAUUAACUGGUUUAUAUGAAUUUGUAAGAUUAAUAAAUUGUGGUUAACUGAAUGUAUUACAUCACUACUCACUUUCAGUAAAUGACAGCAUUAUCUUUGUAAUCAUUGUAAUAGUUCAUCAUUCAUCAUGCAUUUGUGUAUGUUACUGUGAAGUGAGUAGUGUCUUGAUAUGGAGGCAGCAAAUGUAAUUUUGUUACUCCCAAGUAAAAUGUGAUAAUAUCAAAUGAGCAGAAAAUAUGCAACAAGCAGACCACCAUAUUGCUGGAACUGCUGUAAUUUGCUGCAUGACUACAGCUUCUUUUAUCAUUGUUUUGAUGCCACCUGGAUAUCCAUUUUGAUAAGGUAUGUUUGAAGCAUCUUUAAUGUUUUAGAAUGAAAUUACUUUUUAUACAAAUGAUGAUUCAUAGUGAUGAGUUACAAGAAUUGUAAAAUUAUGUUAUGGAAAGGAAAUAAAUUCUUGAACAUCAGGA